AUAAAUAUUCAUCAUUUUAUUAAAAUGAAUAAACUCAGUGUAUCAAUAAUAAAACAAAUAAUCGGAUUUUCCUGUCUGGUUAACCCGACGGCCCGGUAUCAACAGAAGAACACACAAUCCCGUCUCCAGUGAACUUAUUAUCACAGGCACAAGUGAAUGAACCAACAGUAUUUGUACAUGUAGCGUUACCAUGGCAAUUGGCACUUCCAACAUCACAUUCAUCAAUAUCUGAA